AACUCAGGUGUGAUUACCCGCUGAACUUAAGCAUAUCAAUAAGCGGAGGAAAAGAAACUAACGAGGAUUCCCCUAGUAACUGCGAGUGAACCGGGAAAAGCUCAAAUUUUGAAUCUGGCGGUCUUCAGGCCGUCCGAGUUGUAAUCUAGAGAAGCGUCUUCCGCGCUGGACCGUGUAUAAGUUUCCUGGAAUGGAACGUCGUAGAGGGUGACAAUCCCGUCUUUGACACGGACUCCCAGGGCUAUGUGAUGCGCUCUCGACGAGUCGAGUUGUUUGGGAAUGCAGCUCAAAUAGGGUGGUAAAUUCCAUCUAAAGCUAAAUACAGGCGAGAGACCGAUAGCGAACAAGUACCGUGAGGGAAAGAUGAAAAGAACUUUGGAAAGAGAGUUAAACAGUACGUGAAAUUGCUGAAAGGGAAACGCUUGAUGUCAGUCGCAU
rnacentral:rRNA from 1 species